CGGUAGGGGGCAAGCGUUGUCCGGAAUCAGUUGGGCGUAAAGCGCGCGUAGGCGGCCCUGUAAGUCCGUUGUGAAAGUCAAAGGCUCAACCUUUGAAUGCCGAUGGAUACUGCAGGGCUAGAGUCCGGAAGAGGCGAGUGGAAUUCCUGGUGUAGCGGUGGAAUGCGCAGAUAUCAGGAGGAACACCAAUAGCGAAGGCAGCUCGCUGGGACGGUACUGACGCUAAGGCGCGAAAGCGUGGGGAGCGAACAGGAUUAGAUACCCUGGUAGUCCACGCCGUAAACGAUGGGCACUAGGUGUGGGAGGUGUCGACUCCUCCCGUGCCGUCGCUAACGCACUAAGUGCCCCGCCUGGGGAGUACGGCCGCAAGGCUA
rnacentral:rRNA from 1 species